UGGUCCCUACGGGGGGCAGCAGUGAGGAAUAUUGGUCAAUGGCCGGAAGGCUAAACCAGCCAAGCCGCGUGAGGGAGGAAGGCGCAGAGCGUCGCAGACCUCUUUUGCCGGGGGACAAAAGGCCGGACUCGUCCGGUCCUGAGGGUACCCGGAGAAAAAGCAUCGGCUAACUCCGUGCCAGCAGCCGCGGUAAUACGGAGGAUGCGAGCGUUAUCCGGAUUCAUUGGGUUUAAAGGGUGCGCAGGCGGCACGGCAAGCCGGCGGUCAAAUCGCGGGGCUCAACCCCGCCCAGCCGUCGGAACUGC
rnacentral:rRNA from 1 species